GAAGCCAGGCCAAGAAGAAUCCCAGGACUGGAAGGCCUUGUGGGACGUCCCAGGUUUGUCUUGUGUCAAUAGCACUGAUACUCAAUCUCCUACUCCCAUCUGUGAGCAUGCAGACCCUACUUGCCUUCCCACAGCCUCCCUUUUCAUAUUUUUCAUGUUUCUUUAGCUCUGUCUUCAAGCCUUGUUGCUCCCGCAAAAAAACCUGCCUCUUCCUCCAGUCCUCCCAAGCAGGGGGAACAGUCCUGACACCUUUCCAAGCCCUGGUCCAUGGACAUUGUGCCCCCUUCUCCCUGCCCAUGGUGACCUGCUCCAAAACCCUCAAGGAGAAGGGAGUGUAUGUCAUUUCCUCCCUGUAAAGUAAAGAUAAUUUUGCAGGGGACUGUGUGGAUGAAAUGACAUGAUGCAUGGAAAUCCCUUAGCGUGUGCCUGGCAUGUAAACUGCAGGUGUCAUCAUUAUUACUGAGGAAUACUGAGUCCCGAACAUGGCUGUCUCAUUGGUGGACUGGGGUCUCCCCCAGGGCAUUCAUCUACUAUGUGUUUAUUGCACCCUUUUUCCAUGUGAGGCACAUGCCAGGGACUGGGCACAUGGUAUGAACAAGACACAGGUCAUCGGUGUCCUCUUGAGCUCCCUGGCUUGGCAGCAGAUGCAUACCUGGGAAGGAUGCUAGGUCAUCCGGGAACUCUACCUCCUUCAAAUCCCUAAGGACUGUGCUCCCAAUCCGCUUACGCUCAAGGAAGAACUGGUCAGCCCUAGGUGCAGCUGCAACCUGAGGGACUUGUCCUGGGAUCAGACAUUUUGAGGACUUUCUUGACCCUUGGCUGAUAUCCUUGCAGGCAGGACCUGCAGCUAAGCAAGACGUAGGACUGCAAGCUGGGUUGGCACCCUCCCCCUAGGGAGUUCUCCAGGCCUUGCCCCCUCUGUCCCCAGCCUGGAAGCCCUCCCUGGUACCAUACCCCAGCCGAUGAGUAUGUACCCCCAGAAGUACUUCCGCUCAGAGAAGAAGGAGACGGCAAGCAGGGUGUACAGGCCCAGAACCAGCCUGCUGUCAGGAUCAGAACAAAAGAGGAGGACUGCAUAUGUAUGGACCCACUCCAGAUGGCACGGGGACGGGGGGAGUAGGAAAAGUGGCAUGGUCCCUUCCCGUGGAUAUAAUUCUUCCCAGGCCUGUUGUGUGAGUUGGUGAUGCCAUCAUUCCUGCCUCACACUUGCAAACUUCCCUCUUUGGAAUUUCAGAGACCAGGCCCACAGAGUAUGGCUGUGCAAGUUGUUCACUCUACAAGGGCACCUGGCCGGGGUCUUACCUUGAAUGGAGGAGAAGAGCUUGAAGAUGAGGGGACAGGCCAAGACAACUACCUGGCCCCGAGGGGUGGCUGGCCAGCAGAUGAGGAAAUGGAGGCACAGACUGAUUAGAAAACCAGCUCAAGGUCAUGUUGCUGGGCUCUCUGGUGGAGCCUCUGUCUCACAGGUCACCUGCAGGCCAACACUCCCAGAAGCAGCUAGCACCAUGGUUGACCUCGUCCAGGUCCAGGGAAGGCCUCCCUCUCCAGGACUCCUUUAGAUUUCCCCAGCAUCCAGACCUCACCUGCCUAAGUGCUGUUGCCCUGGAAGCCACAGUGAGCACGAGCUCCAUCUUGCACCUUUACCAGCCAAUGGGGGUAAAGACAUUAGCUGAAAUACUUCUAAGGGGCCAGGCGUGGUGACUCAUGCUUGUAAUUCCAAGCACUUUGGGAGGCUGAGGCAGGUGGAUCACCUGAAGCCAGGAGUUCAAGAGCAGCCUGGCCAACAUGGCGAAACCCUGUCUCUACUAAAAAUACAAAAUUUAGCCAGGCAUGGUGGCGGGAGCCUGUAAUCUCAGCUCCUAGGGAGGCUGAGCCAGAAGAAUCGCUUAAACCUGGAAGCUGGAGGUUGCAGUGAGCCAAGAUCACACCACCACACUCCAGCCUGGGUGACAGAGCAAGACUCCAUCUCAAAAAGAAAAAAAAGAAAAAAAGGAAAUACUUCUAAGUUAUGUGAGAGAGUACAUACUGACAUUUUCAAUGGGUACAAUAA
rnacentral:lncRNA from 1 species